rnacentral:ncRNA from 2 species
CCUUUGCAAUCGGAUUAUGGUGUAACCGUAUUUGCUUCCGCUGACGGUUAGUAAAAGGGAAUCCGGUGAAAGUCCGGAGCUGUACCCGUAGCUGUAAGUUCUGAAACCCCGGCAAAUCUUGUUGCCACUGGUGGUUCAAUUGAGAAUUGACAAUUUGAACACCGGGAAGGCUGCCGUUAGUUGGUAAUUGUCCAUUAUCAAUUAUCAAUUGAAAAGGGGGGAACAAGCCAGAAAACCUGCCAUUAUUCGGUAUCCGGU